AUGAAACUUCACAGACCUGUACUGAAUGGUAGUGAUUGCACCUUUUUUAUUUUCUGAUGAGAUUAUUCAGAGCCUCACGACGAGUGUGUUGUACUGUUUUCACCACAGUAUCCCACGUAAUGUCUUUUGAUAUUCGUGCGUCUUGGCCUUCUAGCCAGUGUAAUCUAUGAAACGUUUUUUUUUCUCUAGGUGUCCGUUAACUGAAGGAAAUUGCACCACUUUAUCGGGUAAAGUACUCUGCACACUUUCUAUCUGUUCUUGGUGUGUGACUAUUCUAUGCCUCCUGUGUUUUUUUCCCCCUUGUUUGCCAAAGUGCCUCAAUGAUGAAUCAUUUCCAGAACUCUUUCUUACUGAAUUUCUUUUGAAGAAAUUUCAUUGGAUCUAAGUAUCUAUCUAUCGUUGAUAUUUGUUCGCUUGAUUAGUCAAUUUGGUUGUAUUUUUCUUUUUUUUUUUUUUCAGAGAACUAGAGUACUUCCCCUCAGCAAGGCUGAGAAUAGGUGAGGGCUCAAGUCUUAAACCUGUUAUUCCACAACAUGAUGUAGGAUUAUCUUGUGAUGAACGUAUUGAUCGACAAGCAUAUGUCUGACUUGUUAUGAUGAUUGUCAUUAUUCUGAUUUAAUUGUUGGUUAGUCUAAGACUGCUUAUUUCUACUUUUUUGUUACAGACUUGAGGUAACUGCCAGCAGUUAAUCUUGUUUAUAGGCCUGUGUUGUGUACUGGUGAGUGUCUUUGCUGGGCCUACUGUUCUGUUGGAGUGUAAAGUGAUGAUUUUAAAUCUGACAAGCAUAUGUCUGAUUUCAGUGAUGCUAGUGUUUUUUUUCUGAUACUCUCCAUCUUGGUUAAACGAAUCCAUAUCAAGUGUACCCAGGUUCACAUGGUGGGUGGUUUCCUUUUCAGGCUGUGGGCAUUGCAGAGGCCUAAUUGAGGAUGCGCUUCUUGGUAAGCCGAUUUGCUCUCUGAAGUGUAGUAUUGUGUCUGCAUGAAGCCAUGUCUGCUUGAGCAUACUUGAGUCCUGAGUUUAAAUGGGUUCGUCCCAUAAUCCUCUGGACUACAUGUACCAUGGAAGUCUAG
ensembl:lncRNA